AAACAUAACUUACAAGUAUUAAUCAUUCUUUUCUUGUGAUAUAAGUGAUAUUUCUGAUAUGAAAAGAAAAUAUAUCCAAAUCACUCCAUCUUUCUAGAUUAUGCUUUACUUAUAGAUGGAUAAUUUGGUAAAUCAAUUCUCCAAAGAAUAACUCUAUGAAUUCUCUAUAUGCUUGACUGAGAGUUUUUAUCCAUGGCAUUAUUGUUCAUUGAUCAUAGAUAUGAAAAUGUGUACUUGGUAUAUCUUUGAAUAUAUGCAUUAUAAAUACUAUGAUCAAAGAAUUCUUUUUGGCAUAUAAAAUUAACUUAUGCUAGUAUGGACCUAAUCUCAAAAGAUCUUGUCAUUGGUUUAGCAAGGUCAAAGUUUGCUAUGCAUGUUAACUAAGGAAACAAACAAGAAUCAAUUUCUAAAUCUAAAGAUGUUGUUUCCAUCACUAAGUUUUCACAAGCUUACAUUGGAUUUGUUCUUGGCAAGUAAAAUUAAAGUAUUUUCUGCAUUUGCUAAAUCUUGUGAAAGGGAUCAAAUGAAAAAGGUUUGCAAACUAUG
rnacentral:lncRNA from 1 species